ACUCCUACGGGAGGCAGCAGUGGGGAAUAUUGCACAAUGGGCGAAAGCCUGAUGCAGCAACGCCGCGUGAGGGAUGACGGCCUUCGGGUUGUAAACCUCUUUUAGUAGGGAAGAAGCGAAAGUGACGGUACCUGCAGAAAAAGCACCGGCUAACUACGUGCCAGCAGCCGCGGUAAUACGUAGGGUGCAAGCGUUGUCCGGAAUUAUUGGGCGUAAAGAGCUCGUAGGCGGUUUGUCGCGUCUGCUGUGAAAUCUGGGGGCUCAACCCCCAGCCUGCAGUGGGUACGGGCAGACUAGAGUGCGGUAGGGGAGAUUGGAAUUCCUGGUGUAGCGGUGGAAUGCGCAGAUAUCAGGAGGAACACCGAUGGCGAAGGCAGAUCUCUGGGCCGUAACUGACGCUGAGGAGCGAAAGCAUGGGGAGCGAACAGGAUUAGAUACCCUGGUAGUCCAUGCCGUAAACGUUGGGAACUAGAUGUAGGGGCCAUUCCACGGUUUCUGUGUCGCAGCUAACGCAUUAAGUUCCCCGCCUGGGGAGUACGGCCGCAAGGCUAAAACUCAAAGGAAUUGACGGGGGCCCGCACAAGCGGCGGAGCAUGCGGAUUAAUUCGAUGCAACGCGAAGAACCUUACCAAGGCUUGACAUAUACCGGAAACGUCCAGAGAUGGUCGCCCCGCAAGGUCGGUAUACAGGUGGUGCAUGGUUGUCGUCAGCUCGUGUCGUGAGAUGUUGGGUUAAGUCCCGCAACGAGCGCAACCCUCGUUCUAUGUUGCCAGCACGUUAUGGUGGGAACUCAUAGGAGACUGCCGGGGUCAACUCGGA
rnacentral:rRNA from 1 species